rnacentral:lncRNA from 1 species
AAAAAAGAUAUAGCAGAAAAGACGAAUAACAAGACAGAUACCAUGAGAUCAUCCUGAUGGGCUCCGAGGGGAGGUAGGAUCAAUUUUUAUUUUUCUACUCUUUCUUUGGUUAGUGGGGGGCGGACUAUCAUAGAGGAGUUCAGUACCAGAAACCGGACUAAUACUAUAUAAGGUGGCAUUUUGUUUCCCUGUUUCGCCAAAGAAAGGUUAAGCAACUCUCAAAACACUUACAUUCUUUUGUCUUUCCUAAAAUACUAACUUGACCGUCCGAGUGGUUUUCCAGGUACCACGCUUAGAAAAUCCCAACUUGCUGUUUUGUAGGUGCAUUUUCAAGAGCAGUUCGCCAUACAAGAUUGGUAUACUAAUUGGUACUUUCUGGUUCGUAUUAGUUAUUAAAAAAAUUAAAAAAAAAUAAAAAAUAGAAAAAAACAUAGGUGACAAUAAAAAAUAAAAAAAUAAAAACGAGAUAUAACUACAGUAUAUUAAUGUAAUUAUGUAUGUUGUUAGAAAAGAUAAAUUUCUAAAAAAAGGGAGAUUUAUAAUAUAAUUUUCUUUUGUAUGUAUUCCCUGAAAUCUGUGACGUCCGUCCAUGCAGGAAAAGGAUAUGCAUUGGACAAAGAUCCAACCUUCACCGCUUAUUGCCUUUUUCUUUCAUUAUUAUAAAUAUAUCCUUGGUAAGUUCCCAUUCUUUCUCCAAAAACAAAUUGGGAAGUAUAUCUACAAAUUUCUGAGUCUAUCUAUAAAUCUUUCAGUAAUAAUACGUACUGGCAGGAUUGUAAGUAUUAUUGCUCUUUAUUUAUACCCAAAAGAAUGUCAUUUUCUUUUUAAAAUGUUUCUUUCAGACUUUUCUUUUCUACAAUGUUUUCAAAGCAAAAUUGAUUGAGAAAACCUGUUUAUUUCUUAUAUAUUAUUAUAUUCAUCUAAUUGUUAAACGUCUUGCACGUGAGUGUUUGCAUUUAAAAAUUAAAAAAUCUGGACUUUCUAAAAAUUAAAAACUAAUAUAAUUCCGUGCCGUAAUGAUAAAGUGAGAUUAUUUUAGAAAGUUCAAAUCUCACUUGAUUGAGAAAAAUUAAAAAAAUAAAAUAAAUAUAAAAUAAAAAAGUAAGAUUUGUGUUUACAAAAUAUAUAUCACCAUGAAUAAGUAAGCGAUAAUCUAUAUGGAUAAUUAGUAUAUAUUUAAUUACUUAAAAUUAAUAAAUUUAUAUUAAUUAUUUAUUAAUUUAACAUAUAAAUAAAAAUAAUGUAUUAUAAUUAUAUAAAAUAAAUUUUAAAUAAAAAUAAAUAUCAUAAAAAAAAAUAAUAAUAACCAUGAAAAGCUAGUCAACAAUAAAAAAUUUAUAUAAUAUCAUUGAUAUUAUUUCCCAAAACUUAACAUUAUUUAACUUGCGAUAGGACACUUUCAAAUGUAUCAUGAUACAAUCAGUUUACUGCUCAAUUGUUAAAACAAACAAAAAACCCAUAUAGAAAGAAUUUCUAUGAAUGACAUAAUAGAUUCAAUAUACCUAAGAAUUUCUCCUUGGUUGGUCGAACAAUUAACUUUUUUUUUUUUAAUCUUCGUUUCACUGCCUUAAACAUCUUUAAGACCAUUAACAAAAAGAGAAUCAAACAUUUCCAUUUCAUGUUUCGCCAAAACUACACCAACUUCGACUCCACCAGUCCCAUCUCUGCUUUCCGCCAAAGAAAUGGUUCCAGUACUCCUAUCAAUGGAUGUAAUCUCCACCUUCUUUGGCCUUCCCCACCCAAAAUCUGUCGAGUAAACCCCGAAUCGAGGUGACCCGGCUGUCCCAAUGGCUUCUAUAGAGCCUGGCUUAAUAGCCAUAAAUGUUGAAAUCUUCUCUUUAGCUCCUUCAAGAGCUCCUUUCUCUAGCCUUUUUAUUUUCUCGCUAAGCCUUUCAACAGCAAAGAAAAGCCCAUUUUCUUGCAUGAGACCUUCUGGUUCUACUUCUGCAGUAUGGAUGCUAACGCAAUUCCCAAAAUAAUUUGCAGGUAAUGGAGGGUCUAAACGGGCUCUACAGUCUGCGAUAAUUGCAAACAUCACCUUUCUAUGUCUUUCCAGUCCUCUUGCUUUAAGAACGUUGACAGC